GUGACUAAAUUCUGGAAAGUGGAGAGAGAUUGAUAAUUGAGUAAAAAAGGAGACAGAGGUGGAGGAAGAAAACAAAAGAUUAGGAAAUGAGGGAAAAGGAAAAAAGAAAGAGAAAGAGAAUAAAGAAAAGGAGAGGAAGAAUUUUCAACAUUCUCCCCUCCCACACUUCCUCCCUCUCGGCUAGAAAAAUUCAGAAGUAAGAAGAGAAAGAGAAGGUAUUUUCAAAAUCCUUUAAUUUCCAUGGUUAAAUGUAAGUUUUAUGAAAUUUAUUUAUAGAGGACAUAUUUAUGUUUGUAUUUGAUGGAUUUAAAUUUUUAUAAACAAGAAUUAAAUAAGAAGCAACAAGAAAUCCAAGAAAUUAGCUUCCCCGAAAGUAUCGCCAAAAAAUUGUUCUUUAACGACGUUUUCUGAGUUGUUUUCAAAACUAAAACCAUGGUUAGAUCGGCUCAUAAAUAUAGUAAAACAAAUUUGGGCAAGAAAAUCAAAGAAAAUUUUCUGGAAAAUAUUGGACAGUUCGCCGGAUUAGAAGAUGAGCAGAAAAUAUUUUCCAGCAAACUUUUUUAGUAAGCCCGUUUCUCUAUGUUAGAGGCAGAAUUUAAAGAAACUCUAAAUUAUAUUUUUUAAUUUUUUGAUAAGAGGACUAAUUAUAAUGAAUUUUUGAAGUUUCAACACUUUGAAAAUUAUAAUUGAAUUGUCAAAAAAUUGUUUUCAGCUGAAAUAUUUUUAAAGUAAUCUUAUGAUAUUAUUUAUAAAUCACUGAAAUUUUUUGAUGAAUUAUUGAAGAGCAAAAAUAUUUAUUGUAUAUUUAAGUCAUUUAAAGUUAGUUUAAAAAUAGUGGAAAUUCAUAGAAAAUUUUGUGAAUUGUGGAAAAUUAUGAAACUUGGUGGAAAAUUUUAUAAUAAUAUAAGAUAAAUUAUAGCGCCCCCAAAUCUGGGUCCCUUGAACCUCGUACCUAUUACGUCACAAUACAUCAUCUUCAUACAUAUUCUAUAAACUAAUGUGGAAUUAUAAAUAUAAAUUGUUUAUUACACAAUGGUUCUGUAAUAUUUCUCAAGAUCUACAUCCUUUAUCUUAAUACAUACCUUUAAUAAUUCACAAGGUUUACAUCAUCAAUUUACGCCAGUUAUCAUAAUAGAUAAAUGUUCAUAUAAAACUAAUCUCCAUCUUUUCCUUUGCCUUUGCCCUUCUUUGAGCAUUCGAGUUAAACUGAAAUAUAUUCAUGAUAUAGCAAGGGUGAGCAACUACUUUGCUCAACAAGUUUAAAUACAAUAAAGAUAUAUCAUGAUUUAAAGAAAGAAUAAACUUUCAAGUUUUUCAGCAAUAUAAUAAUUGUGAAGAGCAUGAAUCAAAUUUCAAUACAUGAAUGAUUGAAUUAAUAACGCUGAGUGGUCAAUAAUGACUAUGAACAAAUACUUUGGUAAUGAAGGUGAUUAACCUUUCAUACCUGAUACACAUAUGCAAGGUGCACUAAGUGCGAAUUAAUAAUCAUAGAUGUGGAAUAAUUGUCAAUAAUUAAACCACUAGCAUUCUUGAAAAUUAUUAACUCGAGUUUAAGUUAGAAAAACUUGCAUGUAUCAUUGAUUACCGCUAAGCAAUCUAAUUUAAUCUCUUAUGAAAGAUCUAUCAUUAAUAAGAUCGAUCCUCCAAUUAGCAUAAUACAUUUUAUCUUACUAUAUUAUUACUCAAAUAAUAAAUUAGCUAACAUUUAGUCACAUAAUCAAACAUUAAAUACUUCUUUAACCCAUUAGUAAUAUUAUCAUCCCUCAAUAAUAUUACUAUCAUUUAAUCAUCAUCUUAAACUCUUGGCUAAUAUUAUUAAUCAUUUAAUAAUAUUUUAAUCACUUAAUAUUAUUAAUCACUUAAUAAUAUUUAAUCACUUCUUAACAUUAUUAAAUUAUUUAAUAAAAUCUUAAUCAUUCACAAAUAUUAUUAAUCCUUUAAUAAUAUUCUAACCACCUUUUAAUAUUAUUAAUCAUUUUAAUAAUAUUCAAAUCAUUUAAUAAUAUUAUUAAUCAUUUAAUAAUAUUUUAAUCAUCUUCUAAAUAUAAAAAAUAAAGGUCUCACACAUUUUAAGAUGUAAAUAUUUUACACCUUAAAGUUUAAAUUAUUUACAUUUUAUUUCACUCUUUUACUUUUAUCCGCAAAUUCGGAGUUUAAACCUCUAAUUUAAUACACAGCUUUUUAUAGUAAAACUUAAUUUACUAUAUUAUUUUUUUAAUUCAUUUUUAUAUCACUUUGUCCGUUAAUAAGUCAACACGGUCCGUUGCUUCAUAUACAAAUAUUUUAUCCUGCUAGCAGAUUCACUUUAUUUUCCGUUUUAUGAUAUAUAUAUAUAUAUAUAUAUAUAUAUAUAUAUUUCGUCACAUACAUCUCAACUCAAAAACUUCAUUUUUAACCACGAAAACUUCAAAAUAUCAUUUUUAUAAUUUAUACAAUUUUUUAAAGGUUUCUCGUCUUUCGUUGCACCACAAAAUAAUUUUAUAGGCAACUAUAGUUUUUAUUUUGCUUAAAUGUGUAAUUUAUAUUUAUUACAUAUUUUUAUUAUUUUAUUUAUGCCUGAAAAAAAGUUUCUCGAUGUAAAAUAUCAUUUAUAGUCAAAUCUCGCCCCGUAAAACUUUAUUAGAUUUAUUAUGACUUAUUAUUUCUCCGAAAUACGAUUCGGAACGUCGAACAUCAAAGUCGCUCGACAUGCCGACGCUCGGCGUUCGCUCGUUUUUAAGUUCUAACAUGCUUCUUUGUUCAUUUUUAACUCUCAAAUCAUGAGUCAUAUAACAGUGAAAUUUUGGGCAUGUUAUAGACAUCAUGUCAUAGUAUUAUAGAAAAAAUUCACAUAGCGAAAACAGAUCACGGAAACUAAUCAAAACAGGCCUCAAAAAUUCAUGCCGUGUAACAGCACUGCAGUGCCAGCAGCAGCAAGCGUUGGCGAAUGCCAAGCUCUGGUGCCCAGCUGCCUGCUCGUGCUGCUGCAGCGCUUAGAGACUUGGCUUCUUCGCGAUUUUUUAAUGUGUUGCUCGUAACUCCGAUUGAUUCCAUUUUUUGAUAUGUUUUUCGUAUCAUAUAAGACUAUUUUUAAAAAAUAUGUAACCCUCAUUUCGGGUUCAAUAGGCAGUCCAAACAAUUCGUCAAAAAUAGGCGUUCAUAACGAUUUUAACCUUUUUCCCAGCUUUACCCUCUCUCGCUAAAAUAGUCGUAACUUUUUCAUUUCAAAACAUUUUUGAGCGAUUCUUAAGCCCAUGUGAAGCUAAAUUCUGGGACUACAACUUUUAAUAUUUGACAUUUUCCAAAUUCUAAACAUAGUAUUCCAAAAAAUUCAUCUAAGGGGACUGCCUCGAGUUGGUUAGACAGUUUUGACGAAACUACUUUGAAUGGUCAUAACUCUUUGCUCUGAAAUCAAAAUUAGUCUAUUCCAGAGUCUAUGGAAAGCUUAUUCAGUGUACUAUAACAUACCAAAAGCCCAAAAGUUUUAGAGAAACCUUAGCUAACACCGAAAAUUUCUUUUUAGGUCAGCAGUUUACUAGUUUUCACACUUUAGAAAAUUAGUUUUCUUUCCUUUCCUUGUUUAAGCUUUUCACUACCAAAAAUGGUUAGAUCUACUCAUAAAACACACUAAAACUUGUAGAUCUAUGAUUUUAGAGUUCAAGAAACAUAGAUCUUUAUUUUGACAAAAACCAUCACAAUAAAUCAUAUUAACUAACUAGAGUUUUAAAAUAGGAGAACUUUAAAACCUUUUGUUUUGAUGACUUUUCUUCAUCUCCUUCCAAGAGUGAUUAUGGAGCUUGGAGGCAUGGAAACUUCUCUUCCUUCUUCCCUCAAGGGGCUGCCGAACCAACACUAUCCUCUCUCUUUCUAUUUUUUUUCUUCUCUGCUCUUUGGUGGAGAAUAGAAAGUAAAGUAACUCCUUUUUUUUAAAAUGUAUACAUAUAAUAUAUGUAUGUAUAUAAAUCUUGCAAAGUCUUGGUAAUUAUUAAUGAAGCUAUGCUAGGAGGACACAUGGGCUAGGGAGUGGUUGAACUACCCUUUGAAAAUAAGAGAAAAAUGAAAAGAACCAUGUGCUUAAAAUCCCUUACAUUAACCGGCCAUAUCUCAUUAUUUUUUGGCUAUUUUUGAUUUAUUUUUAAUUUGCUUAAUUUGGCUUAAUAAAAUGACAUAAAAAUCUCACAAUAAUUGGGCCAAAACUUGGGCCAUUUAAUUUAUUGUUUGGGAUUCUUAAUUUAAUUGUUUGGGCCAUGUAAAUAACAUAGACCAACUCAUAAAUUUUAUCUUACCCUAAUUAAUUAGGGUCUCUAUUCUCUUCCUUUUGGAAUUUAAAUACUUACAUACAUAGAUUUACUUAUAUAACCCAAAUUAACCUUUCUUUAAUUAGGUUUUAAAAUAAAUAAUAAAUUGAGAUAAUAAAAUUAAUCUCUUAGGUUAGUAUAUAUUUUAAAUACUAUAAUUCUCCAAUACUAUAACCAUUAGGUUAUUUAAUUCAUGUCCCUAAUAUAUAAUAUUAGGUUAUAAUACUCUCUUUUUUUAAUUUGUUCAUUAUAUAAUAAACAAAUAAAUACAUUAAUAUAAUAAACAUAUAAUAUCCUUUCCUUAUUAACAAUAAAUUCAAUUAAGAAUUUAUGUACUUCCUUAAGAUAUUAUUAUAAUAACUUUUCUUUAUAAAAUCAAUUUUAUAUAAGAAUUUAUUCUAAUAUUCUUGGGUAAAGUAUAUAUAAAUAUUAUAUGCUUAAACCGCCUCUUUUUGCUUCAUUACGCAAAUUGUUCCCCAACAAUUUUAUUUCCUCGCGUAAUAUAUAUAUAUACAUAUAUAUAUAUAUAUGUAUGUAUAUAUAUAUAUAUAUAUAUAUAUAUAUAUAUAUAUAUAUAUAUAUAUUAACUUUCAAUUACAAAUUACGCCAAACAUUCACACCUCACAUAUAGAAAAUAAUUAAUAAAUUUAUUUUCUAACAUUAUAAAUUGUUUAUAUCAAUUUAUUUACAUAUGCCAAAUAUCAUAUAUUUAUCAUAUUACGUAAACUUACAUAUCAUUCAUAGAUCUUAAAAUAAUAUAUAUACUCAUAUAUUAAACUAGACAUUUAAUUUAACGUCUAUUAAAUCUAUUAAUACGGUUUGCUACAUUCAAUAAGCCUUCUUCAUAUAGCUUACCAUAUAUAUUAUUUUGAGUUGCCAUAUACUUAAUCCCUUUUCUAAUAUUUGACUACUAGGUUAGGGUUAAUGUUCACAAGCUAGCUUCUAUAAUUAAGUUUUUAAUUUAUUCUUGUAUGAUUACUUUUAAAUUAACCAUUCAUCUUAUUUGGCUAAAAAAAAUAUCGCCUUCUAAGUAUAUAUGUAUCUAUACAUAUACACAUUAACUUUAAUCUUGUAAUAUCUUUUCCUUUGAAAUUUAAUAUUCAUUAAUAAAUUUCCACAUAUACCAUUACAUAAUUUGUUUCUUAUUUUUUUUUCAAAAUUUCUAUCAUUCUUAAUUAAUUUCUUUACAUUGCUUAAAAAUUCAAAUCAAACCAUAUAGGUUUUAAAAUUUUUAUUUAAUCUUCUAUUUCCACUCUAGGUUUUAAACUUUAACCCUUAAUUUAAUCAUUCAAGAUCAUCUAAAUUUUUGGGUUGUCACAUUCACCCCUUUUUCUAAGAAUUUCGUCCCCGAAAUUACAGUCUACUAAUCUCUGCUUCUUCUAUUAACCAAAAAUAGGUUUUCAAUUUAACCUUUACAUUUUCCUCCUCUGAGGAUUUCUCUUCUAUCAUCUCAUUCAACCAUUACUAUCAUUUUUAAGAAGUUAAAACUUUUCAUAUUAUGCUGAGGGUCAUAUAGACCAUGAACUCUUAGGUUUAACGGUAUUCACCGCAACCAAUUCUUUAAAUAUGUUGUACUAGGUGAUCAGCCUAGUACAGAUACGAGUACGUUAGGUGAUCAGCCUAUCGUAACCUACGUCGUGCACAACGUAUCAAUCUUGUUUAGCGAAUAUUUGCGCUACUAGAUUGGAUUAUUUUAUCCAAUCGGGGUUGUUCACCUCAGACUUAGCAUAUGAUUCCACACCAAAACAAUUUGGUUCGGGAUAAAUUCUCAAAGAAUUCUUUAAUUUUCUUAAACAUUUGCCUAGCUAAAUAAAAUAGCUUAGACGCAUAUCAAUAAUUCGAACAUCAAUCAAAACAUUUGUCUAGCCACUUUAAUUGGCAUUGACUUUUCUUUAACUGGUUUAAAAUUCUGAAAAUCAUGUUAUAACUUCAUGAUUCCGCACUGUAGUUACAGUCCGUUUGAGGAUUCCUUCAUUUUGUGUUGUUGUCAUAUUACAUCAUUCCAUAGUGGACUGACGAUCCUUAGAUCACAUCCAACAAAUAAUAUCCCUUACUUAGAAAGAAACUGGAUACUAGAGUAGUGAGGUAGCAGACUUCUCUUCUUCUUUCUCUCUAUAAUUCAUCUCUAUAAUAAUGGCUCUAAAGCUUGAGUGAAUUGAUAAAGAGUGAUGAAGAAAUGAGCUUCUAUUUAUAGGAAAAUAUAGUUUUGAUAAUUGCACGUUUUGGGGCUCAGAAUAUUACAGUAUAAUACCUUCCUCUUUUCCUUUAUUUUUAAUUUAGUCAUGCAAGUAUUAUCAAACUUGCACCACCUUCCCUAAUAGUAAAUAAUUUGAUUCAAUAGUAAAUCAUGUGAAUCAAUAGUUCUAGACAUGUGAAAAUACGAAUUACAGUAUAGUACCUCCAUCUAUACCUCCAUUUUUAACUUAGUCAUGCAAGUAUUAUCAACCUUGCACCAACUCCCCUAAUAGUAACAAUAAUGUGAAUCAAUAGUACAAACAUGUGAACAAAUAGUUAUAAACAUGUGAAUCAAAGUAAUUAAUUGCUCAUUUAUCCGGUUAAUUACCCGAUUGGUUAAAAUAACUUCCAGACAUCAAUUAUUAUCGAAAUAAAUGUCGAUUUUCACUAACACUAAUAAUUCCAACACAAUAGAAAUAUUUUUAUAAAAAAAUUUAUUUUUGAAAUUUCAAAGUUUGACUUUUCCCAAAAAAGUCAACUGUUGACUUUUUGACCAAAAAGUUAAUCCCGGAAAAUUUUGUGUUUAUAGUCUAUUUUUACUAAUUUCAUCGUUCCGGACUCAAAUAUCACGUCCGCAUCUCCAAAUUCAAAUCCGAACUCAACUUUGAUUUUUAAUAACAUUCAUCAUUAAUAAUAUAACUCACAAUAUUUAACAACCAGGUCGUUCCACUACUCGGUAGUAAAAGUACAGUAAUACGCGUGGUUGCAUAAUAGCACACGGUAUUGAUUAUUGAUACUUACGUGAGAAAUCACUCUGUUAUACUCAAUUAUUGCUACAGUAAUUAUUGCAUCAUAUCUCUCAUAUUAUUGAUUCGAUUAUUGUCACAGUAUCAUCUGCAUAAUAUGUUAUUUUAUUAAAUCAAUAAUUGAGACGACAAAGUUAUUCAUAUUAUUAAAUUACAAUAUUUAUAAUGUCUAGAAGUUCUGUCAAAGAGAAGUUUAGUCACCUAAUUGCGCGCCAAUAGGGAGAAAUCCUUAUUGGAAAGCCCCCUCUUUCCUGGGAACGACCUGGUUGAUAAAUUUUGUGAGUUAUAAUAUUAAUGAUGAAGUUGUGUUCGGAGUUGAAUUUGGAGACGCGGACGUGAUAUUUGAGUCCGGAACGAUGAAAUUAGUAAAAAUAGUCUAUAAAUAUAAAAAUUUUCGAGAUUAACUUUUUGGUCAAAAAGUCAACAGUUGACUUUUUUGGAAAAAGUCAAACUUUGAAAUUUCAAAAUUUAUAUUUUUGAUAAAAAUAGUUUCAUUGUGUUGUAAUUAAUUGUGUUAAUGAAAUCGAUAUUUAUUUCGAUAAAAAUUGAUGUCUGGAGGUUAUAUUGACCAAUCGGGUAUUUAACCGGAUAAAUGAGCAAUUGAUUGCUAUUAUUUCACAUGAUUAUAACUAUUUNNNNNNNNNNNNNNNNNNNNNNNNNNNNNNNNNNNNNNNNNNNNNNNNNNNNNNNNNNNNNNNNNNNNNNNNNNNNNNNNNNNNNNNNNNNNNNNNNNNNNNNNNNNNNNNNNNNNNNNNNNNNNNNNNNNNNNNNNNNNNNNNNNNNNNNNNNNNNNNNNNNNNNNNNNNNNNNNNNNNNNNNNNNNNNNNNNNNNNNNNNNNNNNNNNNNNNNNNNNNNNNNNNNNNNNNNNNNNNNNNNNNNNNNNNNNNNNNNNNNNNNNNNNNNNNNNNNNNNNNNNNNNNNNNNNNNNNNNNNNNNNNNNNNNNNNNNNNNNNNNNNNNNNNNNNNNNNNNNNNNNNNNNNNNNNNNNNNNNNNNNNNNNNNNNNNNNNNNNNNNNNNNNNNNNNNNNNNNNNNNNNNNNNNNNNNNNNNNNNNNNNNNNNNNNNNNNNNNNNNNNNNNNNNNNNNNNNNNNNNNNNNNNNNNNNNNNNNNNNNNNNNNNNNNNNNNNNNNNNNNNNNNNNNNNNNNNNNNNNNNNNNNNNNNNNNNNNNNNNNNNNNNNNNNNNNNNNNNNNNNNNNNNNNNNNNNNNNNNNNNNNNNNNNNNNNNNNNNNNNNNNNNNNNNNNNNNNNNNNNNNNNNNNNNNNNNNNNNNNNNNNNNNNNNNNNNNNNNNNNNNNNNNNNNNNNNNNNNNNNNNNNNNNNNNNNNNNNNNNNNNNNNNNNNNNNNNNNNNNNNNNNNNNNNNNNNNNNNNNNNNNNNNNNNNNNNNNNNNNNNNNNNNNNNNNNNNNNNNNNNNNNNNNNNNNNNNNNNNNNNNNNNNNNNNNNNNNNNNNNNNNNNNNNNNNNNNNNNNNNNNNNNNNNNNNNNNNNNNNNNNNNNNNNNNNNNNNNNNNNNNNNNNNNNNNNNNNNNNNNNNNNNNNNNNNNNNNNNNNNNNNNNNNNNNNNNNNNNNNNNNNNNNNNNNNNNNNNNNNNNNNNNNNNNNNNNNNNNNNNNNNNNNNNUUUAACAUUGUUGGAGACUAAUGAUAAUUUAUUCUGCAUUAUCUUAGUCAUAAUAUUUCUUACUGGGCUAGUUGAGCUCACCCUUUCUUUCACUGUUCUCUUCAGGAAAUGAGAAUAUAGCUGGGACGAAUCGAGGAACGGAGUGAUGGACCAGAUGAUAGUAUAAGUAGUCCUCACUAUUCUGUUAAAUAGUGUGACAAUAAAUAUAAUGACUUAUUCUGAGAGUGGAUAUUGUCUAGAAGACAAUAUUUGUAUUAAAACUCACAGUUUGUAUUUUGUCGUAUUUUACACGACAGUUGUAUUAUUAAGUUGUAUUUGAAUUUUGUACCAUGUAUUUGGCGACUCAAGAUGGGUGAUGUAUACCUAUUUUGGGGGCGUCACAGUUGGUAUCAAAGCUUAGGGAUAUGAUCCCUGGCUAUGAUGUGAGACAAGAACUAGGAGGAGAGAAACGGGGAAUUCCUUCGCUAGUAUGACCUACCUAAGUUUAUUUGGUAUUUAAUUGGUCGGUCAAAGUAUACGGAUAAUAUGUGAUAUGUUAAUUAACCCUUGUUUUGUGGCAGUAUUUGAAAAUGGCAUCCAAAAAUGUUGAGAACAUCAAUGGAGCACAGGAAACCGUUGAGUCUCCACAGAUCAAUAACCAGGACAAUGUGCAUCAGGAAGGCGACAAUCCUCAUCAGGAAGGCGACAAUCCUCAUGCAAACAACAACACUAACCAAAUGAUGAACGAUGGAUUGUUCUGAGGCUUCAUGCAAUUCAUGCAACAUCAGGCGAGAGCGGCUCCUGUCCAAAAUGCAGGUGGAAACACUGGUAACUCUCGGACGGUCACCGCCAAACAGUUCAAGGAGCUGGGACCACCGAAGUUUUUUGUAGAGCCAAAACCACUUAAGGCGGAGACAUGGAUAAAACAGAUCAACAAGAUAUUUGAUAUCUUGGGUUGCUCCGAGGAGCAAAAAGUUCCCUUCGCCACCUUCAUGUUGCUGGCAGAGGCAGAUUACUGGUGGGAAUCUGUAAAGUGUACCCAACCUGCCGCACUGAAGAUGUCUUGGGAGAAGUUUCAAGAACUGUUCAACGACAAGUACUUUCCCAAAAGUAUUCAUCACAUGAAAGAGGUAGAGUUCAUUAAACUGGAGCAAAAAAAUAUGACUGUGUCACAGUACGAAGCCAAGUUUGUCGAGUUGUCCCGGUUUGCGUCCCAUUUGGUUGAUAAUGAAGAGAGAAUGACGCGAAUAUUUCUAAGAGGUUUGAAACCCGAGAUACGUUAAUAUCUUAUCUCUCAUAAACUGUGUUUGUAUUCAGAUGUUGUUAAUAGGGCUCAGUUAUUGGAACACGAUAAUGAGUCAACCCAACCAAAAGAGAGCAGCCGACAAAAUGAUAAUACCAGUGAGAGCAGUCAUUAAAGCGGUGACAACAAACGUGGAGGGAAUCUGCAUGCCAGAAAUGGUAACCACUUCGGUGGUAAUCAGGAACAAAACAAUAAGAAUGGACAUUUCAAGAAGAGGAGAUUCAACAAUGAUGGAAAGACGUUAGCACCAACACUCGUUGUGAAGGAAGGAGAACGACCACCUAUUAUAUGCUUCAAAUAUGGAGGGGAGGGACACAUCAGUCCAAAUUGCGCGAUGCCAUCCAAAGCAUGUUAUAAUUGUGGAAGAGAAGGUCACCUAGCCCAAUUUUUUCAUUCACCGAAGACAAGUUUAGCUAGGAUAGAGGCACCAAAGGUUGUCCCAGAAAAGUCAAAGCUGGUAGUACAAGGGAGAGCGUUCGUUGUGACCUCCCAGAAAGCAAGAAACCCGAACGAGGUCAUCACGGGUAAACUUAUCAUAAACUCUAGCGAAGUCUAUACCUUAUUUGAUACCGGUUCUACCCAUUCUUUUAUUUCUCCUACUUGCGCUCAACGUUUAAAUUUGACUCCGGAGAAAUUAGACUUUGACUUAUCUGUUGAAACUCCGUUGGGAGAAACCUUCAUUACAUCCACUGUUUAUAAGUCUUGUUUGGUUCAAAUCGGUACCCUCACAUUACCUGUCGAUCUUAUUUCAUUGAAAAUACUUGCAUUUGACGUAAUUCUAGGGAUUGAUUGGUUAACUACUCAUCAUGCAAAAAUUGAUUAUUUUCGUAAGGUUGUUAGCUUUCAUAUUCCUAACCAACCUAUUAUGCGAAUUCAAGCAACCAAACCAUUAAAAUCAAUCACUGUCAUCUCAAGCCAUAAAGCUAUUCGUUUAUUGAAAAACGGAUGUCAAGCUUUCUUAGCUCAUGUCACGGAUCUAAACAAAAAUACGUCAGUUUUGAAUGAUAUUUCUAUUGUUAAUGAAUUUCCUGACGUAUUCCCUGAAGAACUUCCUGGCCUACCCCCAGAGCGUGAAAUUGAAUUUUGUAUCGACCUUGAACCCGGUACAAAACCCAUUUCCAAAGCCCCAUAUCGAAUGGCUCCUAUUGAACUUCAGGAGUUAAAGACCCAACUGCAGGAAUUGUUAGACAUUGGCUUUAUUCGUCCUAGUACUUCUCCUUGGGGUGCUCCUGUUCUAUUCGUGAAGAAGAAAGAUGGGAGUAUGCGACUUUGUAUUGAUUAUCGGGAGUUGAAUCAUGUCACCAUCAAAAAUAGGUACCCAUUGCCACGUAUUGAUGACCUGUUUGACCAGUUGCAAGGAGCCAAAUUCUUUUCAAAGAUUGAUCUUCGUUCCGGAUAUCACCAAUUGAAGAUUAGAACCGAUGACAUUCCAAAGACGGCUUUCAGAACUCGGUACGGGCAUUAUGAAUUCCUAGUCAUGUCUUUUGGAUUGACUAAUGCUCCUGCUGCCUUCAUGGAUAUGAUGAACCGAGUAUUCAAGGAAUAUUUGGAUCACUUUGUGGUCGUCUUUAUUGAUGACAUCCUUAUUUAUUCCAAAAGCCGUGAAGAUCAUGAGCAACACUUGAGGCUGAUACUCCAAAAGCUUCGUGAAUAUAAGCUUUAUGCCAAGUUGAAGAAAUGCGAGUUCUGGCUUGAGGAAGUAGCAUUCCUUGGGCACGUGGUAUCAAGUCAUGGAAUAUCUGUUGACCCAGCAAAGAUUGAAGCUAUUCAAAGCUGGGAGCAACCUAAAUCAGUGACCGAAGUACGUAGCUUUCUCGGCUUAGCUGGUUAUUAUCGGAGAUUCGUAGAAGGGUUUUCUCGAAUCGCUACUCCACUAACUCAGCUGACUCGGAAAGAUACAAAGUUCGGUUGGAGCGAGGAAUGUGAGAAGAGUUUUCAAGAACUCAAGAGGAGACUCAUUUCAGCACCUGUUCUGACAAUACCAUCUGGCUCGGAGGGAUUUGUCAUCUACAGUGAUGCUUCGGGCAAAGGGUUAGGAUGUGUUCUCAUGCAACAUGGGAAAGUCAUAGCCUAUGCCUCACGACAACUCAAAGAAUAUGAGAGGAAUUAUCCUACUCAUGAUCUAGAGUUGGCAGCUGUUGUCUUCGCACUUAAAAUUUGGAGGCAUUACUUGUAUGGGGAGAAAGUGGAGAUCUUUACGGAUCAUAAAAGCCUCAAAUAUUUCUUCACUCAAAAGGAACUCAACAUGCGACAACGACGUUGGCUUGAACUGUUGAAAGAUUAUGAUCAUACCAUCCAAUACCAUCCUGGAAAAGCGAACGUGGUAGCUGACGCAUUGAGUAGAAGAUCAUAUGCAAGUACGAGUGCGAUAUUGUCAACGCAAAGGCCCAUUUUGUGUGACUUGCAAAGGAUGGAGAUAGAGUUAAAGACUCCAGGGACCCAUGUGAUGAUGGCGAAUAUACGAGUAGAACCGACUUUAAUCGAUAAAGUUAAAGCUGCUCAAGCUACAGACCUGGAGCUGAUGCGUAUGAGGAAGAAAGUGCAAGAAGGUGCUAUGCCGGAAGCAAGAAUCGAUGAAGAAGGAAUACUUCGAGUCAACUCCAGACUUUGUGUUCCUAACGACCCUGAUUUAAAGUAUAAAAUCAUGAUGGAGGCGCACAACACACCGUUUGCAAUCCAUCCUGGGAGUACCAAAAUGUAUCGUGAUCUUCGACAUACAUUUUGGUGGAGCAAUAUGAAGAGAGAGAUAGCGAGGUUUAUCUCAAGGUGUCUAACUUGUCAACGAGUCAAGGCAGAGCAUCAAGUGCCAAAAGGUCCAUUGCAACCACUUGAAAUUCCAGAAUGGAAGUGGGAGCACAUUACCAUGGAUUUUGUUACUGGUCUUCCCAAGGUUUCUCAAGGCAUAGAUGCGAUUUGGGUCAUUGUUGAUAGAUUGACCAAGUCUGCUCAUUUCUUACAUAUACGAGAAACUUAUACACUUGAACGUCUUGCUAGUAUGUAUAUAAACGAGAUUGUAAGAUUUCAUGGUAUGCCAAUAUCCAUAGUUUCUGAUCAAGACCCAAGAUUCACUUCAAGAUUUUGGGUUAGUUUGCAAAAAGCUAUGGGCACAGAUUUACGAUUUAGUUCGGCAUAUCAUCCUCGGAUGGACGAACAAUCAGAGAGGACUAUUCAAACUCUUGAAGAUUUAUUAAGACUAUGUGUCCUUGACUUCAAGGGAAGUUGGGACAAGAUCUUUCCAUUGGUAGAGUUUUCCUACAACAACAGUUAUCAAGCAAGUAUUGUCAUGGCUCCAUUCGAGGCGUUGUAUGGAAGAAAGUGUCGUUCUCCAGUAUGUUGGGAUGAGGUGGGUGAAGCAACGUUGUUGGGACCAGAUUUGGUACGUAUGACUACGGAAAAGAUUCAAACAAUCCGACAACGUAUAAAAACCUCACAAGAUCAACAAACGAGUUAUGCUGAUCUUUAUCGAAAGAACGUAGAAUUCAAUAUUGGAGAUCAUGUGUUGUUACGUGUUGCUCCAUGAAAAGGAGUUACGAGAUUUGGAAAGAGAGGAAAGCUCAAUCCUCGAUUCAUUGGCCCAUUUUUAAUCCUCGAUCGAGUAGGAACUGUGGCGUAUAGACUCACUUUACCGCCAAGUAUGUCUCGUGUUCAUAACGUUUUUCACAUAUCCAUGUUACGUAAAUAUGUGAAAGACACGAACCACAUUAUUGAAUUAGAACCGGACAUGAUAGAGGAAGAUUUAACGUAUGAAGAGUUACCUGUUAAAAUCUUGGAUAAGAAGGAUCAUAUUCUACGCUCCAAGGUUAUACCUCAAGUUAAAGUUUUGUGGAGAAACCACGACGUGGAAGAAAUGACUUGGGAGUUAGAAUGUGAGAUGAAGUUAAGAUAUUCUCACUUAUUCGACAUACCAGGUACGUACCCUAAUUUUAAGGGAAAAAUUUCAUAAGAAGGGGAGGUUGUAAGACCCCAACUUUUAUGAAUAAAGAUGAUUUUUCUAUAAUUAUCAUUUUUGAAUAUUAUGGAAUGAAUUUUUUAUAAUGUUAUAGUUGUGGUUAGUAUUUAUAAAUUCUGCAAAAUAUGCAAGUUGUUAUAUUAUAUUCGAUUGGUCGGAGAAUAUUCAUUUUAGCAGGGAAUAUUCGUACAACGGCGCAAUCAUUGCUGUACCCCACAACAGAAUUAUUGUUGGAUUGAGAAAACGAUAAAAAUAUAUUUAUGAAAAUAACGGCAGAAGUUUAACCGUUAAUACUGUUGAACUACUCGAUAGUAAAAGUACAGUAAUACGCGUGGUUGCAUAGUAGCACACGGUAUUGAUUAUUGAUGCUUACGUGAGAAGUCACUUUGUUAUACUCAAUUAUUGCUACAAUAAUUGCUGCAUCAUAUCUCUCAUAUUAUUGAUUCGAUUAUUGUCACAGUAUCAUCUGCAUAAUAUGUUAUUCUAUUAAAUCAAUAAUUGAGACGACAAAGUUAUUCAUAUUAUUAAAUUGCAAUAUUUACAAUAUCUAGAAGUUCUGUCAAGGAGAGGUUUGGUCACCUAAUUGCGCACCAAUAGGGAGAAAUCCUUAUUGGAAAGCCCCCUCUUUCCUGGGAACGACCUGGUUGAUAAAUUUUGUGAGUUAUAAUAUUAAUGAUUAAGUUGUGUUCGGAGUUGAAUUUGGAGACGCGGACGUGAUAUUUGAGUCUGGAAUGAUGAAAUUAGUAAAAAUAGUCUAUAAACACAAAAUUUUUCGGGAUUAACUUUUUGGUCAAAAAGUCAACAGUUGACUUUUUUGGGAAAAGUCAAACUUUGAAAUUUCAAAAUUUAUAUUUUUGAUAAAAAUAGUUUCAUUGUGUUGUAAUUAAUUGUGUUAGUGAAAAUCGACAUUUAUUUCGAUAAAAAUUAAUGUCUGGAGGUUAUAUUAACCAAUCGGGUAUUUAAACGGAUAAAUGAGCAAUUCAUUGCUAUUAUUUGAUAUGAUUAUAAUUAUUUGUUCACAUGUGUAUACUAUUGUUUCACAUUCUUGUUAUUAUUAGGGGAGUUGGUGCAAGAUGGAUAAUACUUGCAUGACUAAGUUAAAAAUAGAGGUAUAGAUGGAGGUACUAUACUGUAAUUCGUAUUUUCACAUGUCUAGAACUAUUAAUUCACAUGAUUUACUAUUGAAUCACAUUAUUUACUAUUAGGGGAGGUGGUGCAAGUUUGAUAAUACUUGCAUGACUAAAUUAAAAAUAAAGGAAAAGUUGGAGGUAUUGUACUGUAAUUUUUCUAGCCCCAAAACGUGCAAUUAUUAAAACUAUAUUUUUCUAUAAAUAGAAGCUCAUUCUUCUUUCAUUUCUCACCAAUUCACUAAAGCUAUAGAGCAAUUAUUAUAGAGAGAAAUUAUAGAGAGAAAAUCUAUAGAACAAGAGAAGCCUGCUACCUAACUAUUCCAGUAUCCAGUUUCUUCUGAGGUAAGGGGUAUUAUUUCUUUCUUUCGUCUUCAUGAAGAGAACUUCUGUUAUUCCAUUUUUUUUAUUAAGUUGGAAUAACCUGUCUAUGCGAAGUACCGCAUACUUGGUGAAAUUCUUCUGUUAUUCCAUUCUUUAUUAUUCUGUUGGAACAUCCUGUCUGUGCUUUACGCAUAACCUGGUUCCGUCUUUAUUAUUCUGUUGGAAUAACCUGCCUGUGCGGUCUACCGCAUGCUUGGUGAUUUCUUUUGUUAUUCCAUUCCUUAUUAUACUUAGUUGGUUAAAGUGUUGACUUCUAUACUCCCUGAAAUUAGUGGAAUAUCCUUGAUACUUGCGCUUCAUCCAGUAUUUUUUCAUGGAAAUAUUCUUCUGAGCAUUCUUGAAUUUUAUUCUACAAAGAAGUAUCAUGUUGACAAUUUGGAUGUUAUUAGUUUCUGAAUAAAUUAAUUCUUGAACUUAUUUUAUUGAAUUCUUAUAUCAUUGUCAUCAUCCUCAUAUUUAUAUUUUUUUUUUGAAAGUCAUUUGUGGCCUGUAGUGCAUAGAUGGACUUGGUAUGAUUAUGACCAGGGAUUAUUCGGUGUAAUCAUGACCGUAAUGUUACAAAUGAUGUGGUAAAAAGUCCUCAUUGGCCCGUAGUGCAUGGAUAAUUUGUGGUCUUGAUACUAAAGAAUAUCUUUGGCCGUAGUGCAGGGGUGAUUCGAUGAUGUGGAUUAUUUAUUAAGUUGAGUCUCAGUGAUAAAAGUGACGAAAACCUUUUAAAUCAUAAAAGAUAGUAGAUUUUAUUCUCUAUUUGACUCUUUUAAUGGAUUGCUUGUUCCGCUGCAGUUAAACUUGAUGUCUAUUAUAUUUUAUCAGUUUAACAUUGUUGUAGACUAAUGAUAAUUUAUUCUGCAUUAUCUUAGUCAUAAUAUUUCUUACUGGGCUAGUUGAGCUCACCCUUUCUUUCACUGUUCUCUUCAGAAAAUGAGAAUAUAGUUGGGACGAGUCGGGGAACUGAGUGAUGGACCAGAUGAUAGUAUUAGUAGUCCUCACUAUUCUGUUAAAUAGUGUGACAAUAAAUGUAAUGAGGACUUAUUCUGAGAGUGGAUAUUGUCUAGAAGAUAAUAUUUGUAUUAAAACUCACAGUUUGUAUUUUGUCUUAUUUUACACGACAGUUGUAUUAUUAAGUUGUACUUGAAUUUUGUACCAUGUAUUUGGUGACUCAAGAUGGGUGAUGUAUACCUAUUUUGGGGGCGUCAUAGUUCUCUUCAGAAAAUGAGAAUAUAGCUGGGACGAGUCGGGAAACGGAGUGACAGUCCAGAUGAUAACAUUAGUAGUCCUCACUAUUCUGUUAAAUAAUGUGAUAAUAAAUGUAAUGAGGAUUGAAUUUGAGUUUGUAUACUGUCUAUGAGGACUCCAUUGAGAGUGGAUAUUGUCUAGAAGGCAAUAUUCUUGAUUAAACUCUCAGUUUAUGUUUUGUCGUAUUUUACACGACAGUUGUAUAAUUAAGUUAUAUUUGAUUUAUGUACCAUGUAUUUGGCGACUCAAGAUGGGUGAUGUAUACCUAUUUUGGGGGCGUCACAGAUAUGGUUUUCAAAUAAAUAUAAUUCCUUUAUGAAUUUAAAUGUUAAGCUCUUAAAAAAUAUUUCCAGCAAAUAAAAGUUGCCUUGCAAUUAAUAACUCAAGUUAAAAAUUCUUACAUUAAUUUUCUAGGUGAUAUCCUAGGGACCUAACCGAGUGGUGUCUCUAAGAACCUUUUCUUCAUGAUGAGCCACUUGAAAUCUGGACAUGAAUGAUGAGUCCAAUAAAAUUACAAACAUCUUUAUACAAAAUACUCCCUCCAUCCCAAAAUAAUAGACGUUUUAGGGUAUUUUUUUUCCAAAAUAUCUGACGUUCUACAAUCCCAAGAAUAUUUUGGCAUUUGUUUUCCCUCUCUACCCUUCCUUCUCCACCACUAUUAUCAGAUUCGGGAGGUGGCGAGCACGGAGAAAACCGGCGUCUUCAUCUUUCUUUCUCUCUCCUCUGUUUUUUUUUUGGAAAAUAAGAACAUCCCCUAAAUCCUAAUCUAUCAGAUCUGCGAUUACCUCAAAUCAUUACCAACGGAACCCUAAUUAAAUCGAUUCGAAUCAAAUUUACAAUGGGCGAUUUCAAUCUUGCGCUUGUGAUCGUAGCCAUAGUUGUCUCGAUUUUGGUCUUUAUAUUCAAUGUUUACCUCCUCGUGAACUACCAGCAUCCAGAUGGCAAAAAUCAGGCCUAUUUCCCCAAAUUCGUCGUCGUUUUGGGCCUCUCCGUUGCCGCCCUAUCGAUACUAAUGUUGCCGGCCAAUGUGGCCAAUCGACAAGCUUGCCAGCACGCCAUAUACAACGGCGUGUGUAAUUUAACAUUGCCGGUCAUGGUGGGGGAAGGAGUGUCGGUCAUGGUGGCGGCAAGGGAGGUGGCUGAAGAGAUUAAAAAGAAGACAGAGAGAAGGCUGAAGAGAGGAAGAAGACGCAUUAUAAAUUAAGGGUAAAAUAGUAAAAUUAUAACUAUUCUUAAUCUUUGUAAAACUCUUUAGAACGUCUAUUAUUUUGGGAUGGAGGGAGUAUAUGUUGUCGUCGUUAAAAUAAAACUCAUAAAUUAACAUUUUUCCCCUUUUUAAUAAUGAUAAUAUAUUACCGCCUAAAUAUUUAACACUCCCCUAAGAUUAUGAUUAUGCAUAUUAAGAAGCAAUAAAUAACUUGAUCAUACAAACUGUCAACAUAGCCAGUAAAAUACUCAUCAUGGACAUAAUGCACGUAGGAUUAAGCUAAACAGAUUCCACGGUACCAUUAAUUGCAUAUCAAAUAACCAUAAUCAAUAUAAUAUCAUAGUACCAGCAUGCAUUAAUAACAUGGAGUAUUAGAUAAUCAGUUCAAGAAUUUCAAAACCAAAUGAAGUCUGUUCAAAAAGUCAAAUUUGUCCAAAAACACCAAACCAUUCAGUUUUACCAAUUUCUCCCCCUUUGUCAUUAUCAAAAAGAGAGAAACAAUAUUCUCAUUCACUGUCUGUCUCAAAGCACACCUCAUCUAGCUUUUUGUCCAUGGCAACGAGCUUUGUUUCAAUAGCAUUUUGUUCAGCCACAAUGUCAUCCUCUCUCUCUCUCUGAAACAGUGUUGAUUCUUGCAGAAACUGCAUCAACCUUCUCCAACACAGUAUCAACUUUGGUCAUCAUUGUGUUCAUAAGAGAAAGAAGUGCAGAGGUGGAAGAAGCAAACGAAGGUAUAAAAGUUGAGGGAGCAAGACCAAAACACAAGGUAGAUGAGGGAGGAAGAAAUGGUAGACCACGAAAUAGGUCAUCCAUUGAAUCAGUGUGAACUUCAACAUUCCUAAAAAUAAUGCUACCAUCAUCAGUGACCUCAAGGCAAGAAUUUUGAAACACUUCUUUGUCAAUUACCUAGCUCAUUAAGUUGAAAAACCUCUUCAUGUUCAAAAAAAACUUGAAAUUGAUCCAAAAUAGUUGUUAUAAAACCACCAUAAAGAAGACUUAGUUUUAUUUUUCAAACAACUUUCAAUGUGUUUAAUCAUCAUUAAUGCAAAGUUAAAUUUAAUUCCUUUCGAAAUCAAUUUGGUAAAUUAGUAAGAGACGUAAGCUUAAAAUAAAAUUGAUAAAUAAAUCAACUUAAUCAAAUGAAAAAAGUUGACUAAAAUGCAAAACUCUCCCCUAUGUUUGUAUCCAUGUGAUGUCUAUGUUCUUGAGUACGGCAUAAGUAAAAUUCUUUCUCAAAAUUUAAUUUUUAGUGCAAAAUGGUAUGUAUAUUUAGCACUGCAAAAUUAUCUCAAAAGGCAUAGUUUUACACUAUUACUUAUAUCACGAGAUAAGAUUUAUUUCAAAGUUCUCUUUAGUUUAUUCCCACGAUAGUUAUGUUAUACAUGGAAUGGCAAAAGCAAUUUUGGACUAAUUAAAGCACUUGAAAGAGAAGGCAAAAAGCUUAAAUUUUGGUGUCCAAUAAUUCUCAAAAAUUAUGCCUAAAAGCUGAACAACCUAUAAUCCCCCAUUCUUUUGGAGCUUUGAUAACCAACAAUGGACCGGCAUAAUCAUGGCUUUGGAAGUGAGAGAGUUCCUCUGUUGAAUAGACCAGUAAGUUUCCCAGUGUAAUUUUUUUUUGCAAUUUCUUGUUUAUGGGUCAAUAAAUUGCAUUUUGGCUUAUGGGUUUUGUUUAGUUUUGGAUUAUGGAAUUACCAGGGUAGAAUAAUCUGAUUCAUGUAUAAGAUUUUGAGUUUUCAUUUUGCUUCAUAAAUUUACCUGUUGGGCCAUAAUAUUUCAUGUAUUGGGCCAAGCGGAUUGGGCCGAAUUAUUUGAUUAGUCCAUUUGGGUCAUCAUUAUUAGGCCUUGCCAGUGGGCCAAUUCAUUGGAUUAUCUGGAUUGGGUCUUACAAAGUCUUGGGCCGAAUUGUUGAAUCGACCCAUUAGAUAACUAAAUAUCUUCACUUGGGCUUUGACCGGUGAUGAUGACAAAGAUAAUGGCUGACUGAAAUCUUACAUCGCAUUAAUGAGGAUUGGAAAGUCGGCCAGCGGUGGACAAAGGGGAUGAGAUCAACAGGUAAGCUACCUGUAGUGGGUGGUGUCAGGGGGGUCAGUUGCACACAAAACUGGAUCUUGGAGUAUAUGAUAGCAAGGGCAUCACACAAGUGAAGGUAACUGAUAUUUUUAUCUCUCUCAACACAUUAGAUAUUUUAUCCUCCAUUGUUAACCUUGUGAUCAUCUGUAUUGACUCUCACGCCUGAGCUAUCCCCCGACGGUCGAAGCUGUCAAGCUUUUGGUGUUGACUGUGUUUAUUGUGCAGGAUCAGAGCGUCUUACGUGAUUGGGACGUGAAAGUAGAUCUUGGCGUUAACAUUGGCGCUAGAAGGAGGACUGUUCUAGUGUUCUUGAGUUUUCAAUCACAAACCUUCAUUUGUUCUACGUCGAAAGUUAUGGUGAGGAGUAGAACGGUCACACCGGAGGGAUAGCCGAAGGCUGUGAUUUUGUCUGUUCAGCGUAUUUCUGUCAGAGAUUGUUUGGGUCCUUCAAAGAGUGCUCAUGACAGCACGGCUUCCAAACACGACUCAGUGGGUUCUCGUUCGAGAGCCCAUGGUGAGGCCAGAAGGAGGUUGGUCUUUGCUGCUGACAAAGAACGUGAUCAUGAUCGAAAGCGGGUAUAAGGCACACCGCCUUGAACUCGGCACCGAUAUGGUCAAACUAACAGAGCGUCCAAGCUGGCCAAGAUGGCAGAUGAAGCAGAUAAAGCUUUGGAGGGUCUUCCGAAGCAGAUGAAAGAAGUUUAUGCACUAUGAAGAUAUGUCUCGAGGCCGUCCUCGUGACCAAAGAAGACCAAGGAGCCAUACUCCUGAGGAUCCGAAGAGGAUAUUUCAUCCUAGGGAUUCUCGGGGCUAUGGCAUAAGCAGACAAGGGAGCAGCUCAGGAGGAUAUUCACUUGAGAAUCUGAAGAAGGCACUCUGCCUUGAGUGUUCUCGCCACAGCGAAGGGCUCAUCACCAAAGCAGAUCUAUAAGCCACACUCCUGGAAAUCCGAAUACUUCGAAAAUGUUUCCAAGACGUUGCAGUACUUCAGCAGAAGCAGAGUUCGUGGACACUACAUGCAGACAGAUAUUCUAUUUCGGACAUCAGUGCAGCAGGCUAGCAAGGGGUCGAUUGCAAUAACAAUUCUAUUACCGAUUUAUCGAAGGGCUUUUUCGUCACCAUUGCUCAAAUGUUUGAAUCCAUCCGAAGCAGAGUAUGUUCUUCGGGAAGUUCACGAAAGCAUCUGUGGCGGUCAUUUGGCUGCGAAGUCAUUGGCCUACAAAGUAUUUCGGCAGGGAUAUUAUUGGCUUAUAAUUUUUCAGGAAGCUACGAAGUAUGUGAAGAAAUGCCAAAGGUGUCAGCUCAACAGUCCGAUCCCGCAUCAGCCACCAGAAGAGCUAUACUCGAUCUUAUCUCCUAUACCCUUUGUUGUCUAGGGGGUAGAUAUACUGGGUCCAUUGCCGUAAGCUAAAGAUCAGGUUUUCAUUUCGGCAUUCCGAAGGUGAUAAUAUCAGACAAUGGAAGCCAGUUUGUAGGAUCGAAAGUUUGAAAUAUUCUUGAAAGAACUGGGGAUUCAGCACAGAAAGACUUCGGUAGCUUACCUACAAACUUCAUCGGUGUAAGGAGGUUCGGGUGGACUCGCUGACCAUUCGAUGGUAGCCUUAUUGGCAGGUGGUCCUUAUUAAUUUUUCAGGCCCUUCGUGGUAGGCAAACUUCAUCGGUGUAAGGAGGUUCGGGUGGACUCAUUGACCAUUCGAUGGUAGCCUUAUCGGCAGGUGUGUCCUUAUGGAUUUGUUAGAACCCCAUGUGGUAAACAAAUUUCAUGGUCCUUAUAAAAUUGUUAUACCCUGCGUGGUAAACAAAAAUCCUUUUGUUGCAAGGAGGUUCGGGUGGACUCGCUGACCAUUCGAUGGUAGCCUUAUUGGAAGGUGUGUCCUUAUGGAUUUGUUAGAACCCCGUGUGGUAAACAAAUUCCAUGGUCCUUAUAAAAUUUUUAUACCCCGUGUGGUAAACAAAUUCCCAAUGGUGCAAGGAGGAUCAGCUGGAUUAACCUUAUACAUGAUCUGUCUCACACUUCGGUAACGAUAAGUAUGUAUUACUUUAUUUUGUUCAAGUGUUGAGUUCGGAUUAUGUUAUUACUCAAAUCUUAUUUGUUAUAUAAUUUGCUUGAUUAUUGACUAACAGUUUAAGUUAAGAGGAGCUUGUACAUUUUUUAAGUUGAUUGAUGGUGAAUUAUUGACAAGAAAUGUUCACACAGAAGUAAUAAGGCAUGAAGUUGAUAUUUCAUUAAUAUUAACAGUUCAUAAAAAGUUAGAAUUUUUACAGAAAGUUCUACAGCUAAAGGUAAAGGGGAGGUCAUCUUCAGGCUUCUUCAUCGUCAUCAUUGUCGUCUGAAGAGUCUAGAAGAGAUGGAUCUACCUUAGCCGCGAUAAGCUUUUUCUUGCCUUUACUUCAACAGAUUUCAUAUCCUUUGGCAUACAUAUGGACGAUUUCAUCGCUCAGCUCGGCGGAUUUUCUGUAUUCUGCCUGGAUCUCCUUAUGAAGAUCUUCGGUCAGUGGAGGAUCCAAGUUCCUAAGGGCCCGAAGUUCUCGGAGUUCCUCUUCAAGCUUUUGACGAUGUGCUAGAUAUCUUUCUUCUUUAGCAUGGAUAUUGUUAUUUUGCUUCGCCAAGCUCUGAUUGGACUCGGACAGAUAUUCAUUCUUCUUCGUCAAAAUUUCAUUCUUCUGAAGCAGGUCGACAUUUAUAUCUAUGAUGACUCGAUGUGUAGCCUUGGUCAUUUCCAGCUCUUUUUUGAUCUUGUCGAGAUUCUUCCGAAGGCACUCAUUAUUGAAGAGAGCAAUGUCAAGGUUACUUCUCUCUUUUGCCAAUGCAGACUUCAGAAUGGUGUUCUCCCUUCGGUCGGUGUCCUCUUCGGCUUCGGCUUCUUUGUAUUUGGGACGGAGGCACCCGAAGAUAGCAUUUUCCUGCAGAUGACUAGUAUUAGUCAAUCAGUUCAAAUUGAUGGGCAGGAAUGUAAAUGGAUAAGUCAAAUAUCAAAUUCCUUUAGUUUGAUAUUUCAUUCCUUCGUCCAUCAGGUCCAUGAUGGAACUAUUAUCGAACCAAUGAUCAUCGGUGUCACGAACGAAUGCUAUUAGAGGUCGAAAGGGAAAUUUUCAUUGAAUUUUGGACAGGGAGUGGGGGGAAGCCACAGCUUCGGGCCUGGAUUCAGAAGAGGAUGGUUUUUGUGGCGAAGGUCUGGGUUGUUCGGGAGGCGGUGGAAUAUUUGUUGUUGUAUGUUCGGCUGGAGUGGGCUCUUCAAUUGGACUUCCGGUCUUAAUUCAUCUUACUAUUUGAUAUUCACCAGUCUGGCCUCGGUCAAUUUUGUUAUUUGGGUCCUUUAUACUCUUUCAUUAAACAAACUAUUUAAUAAAAGACUGGGGGCAAUGUUGGGCCAUAAUAUUUCAUGUAUUGGGUCAAACAGAUUUGGCCUAAUUAUUUGGUUAGUCCAUUUGGGUCAUCAUUAUUAGGCCUUACGAGUGGGCCAAUUCAUUGGAUUAUCUGGAUUGGGUCUUACAAAGUCUUGGGCCGAAUUAUUGAAUCGACCUAUUAAAUAACUAAAUAUCUUCACUUGGACUUUGACCGAUGAUGAUGACAAAGAUAAUGGCUGACUCAUACAUCGCAUUAAUGAGGAUUGGACAGUCGGCCAGCGGUGGACAAAGGGGAUGGGAUCAGCAGGUAAGCUACCUGCAGUGGGUGGUGUCAGGGGGGUCGGUUGCACAUAAAACCGGAUAUUGGAGUAUAUGAUAGCAAGGGCAUCACACAAGUGAAGGUAACUGAUAUUUUUAUCUCUCUCAAUACACUAGAUGUUUUAUCCUCCAUUGUUAACCUUGUGAUCGUCUGUAUUAACUAUCACGCCUGAGCUAUCCCCUGAUGGUCGAAGCCAUCAAGCUUUUGGUGUUGAAUGUGUUUAUUGUGCAUGAUCAGAGCGUCUUACGUGAUUGGGACGUGGAAGUAGAUCUUGGUGUUAACAUUACCCUUCUUAAGUUGGGUAUUAGUUGGUUUUUGUUUCUUGAUUACUUAAAAUUUACCCAUUUUCUGGUCACAUUCCAUGUUUAGAAUUAGGAAGUUUUUCCCAACUUGGCAUAUUUCAUAUGAUAAGUUUUGUGUUUAUAUCAUCAAAACUUGGAGCAUAUUGACAUUUUUUAAUUUUCUGGGUUUUUUUUUGUUGGUUGAUUUUGGUCUUCUUUUUUUAACUUAGGGAGGUAGACGGAGAAAUGAUGCAGCCAAAAAUGGUCAGCUGACAGACCUUGAGCUUGGGGAUGCAGUACCGGUAAUUGUGGACUCUUACUUAUUUGAUGUUAUGACGCCUUGGUGAUUAUUGUAAUAUGUAAAUGUGGGCUUUUUUAGAAUACACUACAAAAAAAUGGGGUUUCAGCAACAAUCGAUUUUUCGUUGCUAAAGGUGCCAAAUAUCGUUGCAAAAAGAUUUUGGCAAUGACUUUACUGCCAUUACGUCUUUCGUUGCGCAAUGAGCGUUGCUAAUUGUUCCGCAACGAACGUAUUUUUUUCGUUGCCAAAAGUAAUUCAUUUUGUAAAGAAAUUUGGCUUUCGUACAGAGACAUCGAUCCUUUAGCAACAAAAUGUAUUAUUGCAGAAUAAUUAAACUUUCGUUGUUAAAAAGCCAAUUUCGUUGCAAAAGCCUUCUAAUUAGCAACGAAAUGAACUCUUUUAUUUUUUGCAACGACCAUGCAUUUUCGUUGCAAUUGACACCAUUUUGCAUCGACAUUUCUUUCGUAUUCAUGAAGAGAUCUAAUGUUAUUCCAUUUUUUAUUAUUAUGUUGGAAUAACCUGUCUAUGCGAAUUACUGCAUACAUAGUAAAAUUCUUCUGUUAUUCCAUUCUUUAUUAUUAUGUUGGAAUAACCUGUCUAUGCGAAGUACUGCAUACAUGGUGAAAUUCUUCUAUUAUUCCAUUCUUUAUUAUUCUGUUGGAAUAUCCUGUCUGUGCAGAUUACGCAUGACCUGGUUCCAUUAUUUAUUAUUCUGUUGGAAUAUCCUGUCUGUGCGGAUUACGCAUGACCUGGUUCCAUUAUUUAUUAUUUUUUUGGAAUAACCUAUCUGUACGGUUUAUCGCAUGCCUGGUGAAUUCUUCUGUUAUUCCAUUCUUUAUUAUUCUGUUGGAAUAUCCUGUCUGUGCGGAUUACGCAUGACCUGGUUCCAUUAUUUAUUAUUCUGUUGGAAUAACCUGUCUGUGUGGUCUAUCACAUGCAUGGUGAAUUCUUCUGUUAUUUCAUUCUUUAUUAUUCUGUUGGAAUAACCUGUCUAUGUGGAUUACCGCAUGCAUGGUGAAUGAUCCUUAGUAUUCAUUCUUUAUUAAAUUGUGGAAAUGAUUUGUCUACGUAGAUUAUCGUAUGGCGGGUGAAAAUCCAUUUGCAGUUUCGUAAUUUUUCUGACCCUCAAAAAUUUUGGAAAAAUUUAAAAUGAUAAGUUGUUGAGUUUUAUAGAUUGUAUCCAAAAAUGGCAAUUUUUGGAUGUAUAGAUUAAGAGUUAUGAAUUUUAUGGGAGAAGACUAUUUUAAAAGUAAACCCUUAUAACUCCUUGUGGUUAACUCCAAAAUUGGUGAAAUUUUUAUUGGGAGUACAUAUAUAUAACAGGAGUAUACCCUGUAAAUUUCAGAAUUUUUGGACAAAAGUAUAAUGUAUGAUAAAUGUCUAAAAUUCAAAAGUUUUGGCCAUAUGGAAAAUAGUAAAUGAAUUUUAAAAAUUUUGAGAAAAAUAUAUGUUCAAUAUGGGACUAUAUUAUGCUAAAUCCCAGAAAAGAAUAAUUUUUGGGACUAAUUUGGUAUUUUUCAUGAAAAUAGUUUAGUUACGAACAUAUAAAUUAAAUAUGCUAUGUGAAGUUAAAAAAUUGGUAAAUAGGAUUUUAUAGCUUGGAAAUCCUAUAUAAGGUAUAUGCAGAUUUUUGAUGAGGGAUUUGAUCAUUGGUGAUGAAAUCUUAUGAGUAUGGUAUUUUUGAAUGAUUAAAUGCAUUAUUUGGUAAAGUGUAAACAAUUAAAAUAAAGUGUUUAUUGUGAGACCUCAGAUUUUAUAAAUAAAGAUUUAAAUUUCUCGAAAUAUUUUUUUUUAAUAUUAUGGUGUGGAUUUGAUAUAAUGUUAUAGUUGUGGGUAGUAUUUACAAAUUUUGCAAAGUAUGCAAGUUGUCAUAUUAUAUUCGAUUGGUCAGGGAAUAUUCGGUUUAGCAGGGAAUAUUCGUACAACGGCUCAAUCAUUGGUGGACCCCACAACAGAAUUAUUUUCGGAUUGAGAAAAUGACAAAAAUAUUUUUAUGAAAAUAACGGCGGAAGUUUUACCGUUAAUACUGUUGAACUACUCGGUAGUAAAAGUACAGUAAUACGCGUGGUUGCAUAGUAGCACACGGUAUUAAUUAUUGAUGCUUACGUGAGAAGUCACUCAGUUUUACUUAUUUUAUGGACCUCCAUUUACCCAUUUUUCAAAAUAAUCAGUAGAAGAUAUUUCAGUAUAUAUAUUAUAUGGGAUCCACCUGUGAUGGUGAUAUGUUGGUGGAGGGAACAUGUGGGGCCCACGUUGGAAGAAAAGAAAAUGUGUGGGGAGGAUAAUGUGUGGGGAGCAUGUGUUUUAUCGUAUUUUACACGACUGCUAUAUUAUUAGUUUGUAUUUGAAUUUUGUACCAUGUAUUUGGCGACUCAAGAUGGGUGAUGUAUACCUAUUUUGGGGGCGUCACAGUUGGUAUCAAAGCUUAGGGAUAUGAUCCCUGGCUAAGAUGUGAGACAAGAACUAGGAGGGGAGAGACGGGGAAUUCUUUCGCUAGUAUGACCUACCUAAGUUUAUUUGGUAUUUAAUUGGUCGGUCAGAGUAUAGAGAUAAUAUGUGAUAUGUUAUUUAACUCUGGUUUUGUGGCAGUAUUUGAAAAUGACAUCCGAGAAUGUUGAGAUUAUCAAUGGAGCACAGGAGACCGUUGAGUCUCCACAGAUUAAUAAUCAGGAUAAUGUGCAUCAGGAAGGUGACAUUCCUCAGGCAAACAACAACACUGACCAAAUGAUGAACGAUUGAAUGUUUAGAGGCUUUAUGCAAUUCAUGCAACAUUAGGCGAAAGCGGCUCCUGUACAAAAUGCAGGUGGAAACACUGGGAACUCUCGGACGGUCACCGCGAAGCAGUUUAAGGAACUGGGACCACCGGAGUUUUUUGGUGAGCCAAAACCACUUAAGGCGGAGAUGUGGAUUAAGCAGAUCAACAAGAUAUUUGAUGUCUUGGGAUGCUCUGAGGAGCAAAAGGUUCCCUUUGCCACCUUCAUGGUGCGGGCAGAGGCAGAUUACUGGUGGGAAUCUGUAAAGCGUACUCAACCUGCCGCACUGAAGAUGUCUUGAGAGAAGUUCCAAGAACUGUUCAACAACAAGUACUUUCCCGAAAGUAUUCGUCACAUGAAAGAGGUAGAGUUUAUCAAGCUGGAACAAAAUAACAUGACCGUAUCGCAGUACGAAGCCAAGUUUGCCGAGUUAUCCCGGUUUGCAUCCCAUUUGGUUGAUAAUGAGGAGAGAAUGACGCGAAUGUUUUUAAGAGGUUUGAAACCUGAGAUACGUCAAUAUCGUAUCUCUCAUAAACUAUGUUUGUAUUCAGAUGUUGUUAAUAGGGCUCAGUUAUUGGAGCGUGAUAAUGAGUCAUCCCAACCAAAAGAGAGCAGCCGGCAAAAUGAUAAUACUAGUGAGAACAGUCAUCGAAGCGGUGACAACAAGCGCGGAGGGAAUCAACAGGCCAGAAAUGGUAACCACUUCGGUGGUAAUCAGGGCCAAAACAGUAAGAAUGGACAUUUCAUGAAAAGGAGAUUCAACAAUGAUGGAAAGACGUCAGCACCAGCACCCGUUGUUAAAGAAGGAGAACGACCACCUAUCAUAUGUUUCAAAUGCGGAGGGGAGGGACACAUUAGUCCAAACUGUGCGAUGCCGUCCAAAGCAUGUUAUAAUUGUGGAAAAGAAGGUCACCUAGCUCGAUUUUAUCGUUCACCGAAGCCAAGUUCAGUUAGGAUAGAGGCACUAAAGACUGUUCCAGAAAAGUCAAAACCGGUAGUGCAAGGGAGAGCGUUUUUUGUGACUUCUCAAAAAGCGAGUAACCCGAACGAAGUUAGCACGGGUUAGUUAAUUAUAAAUUGUGAAGUCUAUACCUUAUAAAAUACCGGUUCUGCCCAUUAUUUUAUCUCUCUUGCUUGCGUUUAACGUUUAAAUUUGACUCCGGAGAAGUUAAACUUUGACUUAUUGGUUGAAACUUCGUUAGUAGGAGCCUUCGUUACCUCUACUAUUUUUAAAUCUUGUUUGAUUCAAAUAAACACUUUCACGUUACCUGUCAAUCUUAUCUCUUUGAAAAUACUUGCAUUGAUGUGAUUUUUGGAAACAAUUGGUUAACUACUUAUCAUGUUUUUCGUAAGGUUGUUAGCUUUCAUACUCCUAACCAACCUGUUAUGCGAAUUCAAAGUAACCAAACCACUAAAGUCGAUCAUUGUCAUAUCAAGCCAUAAGUAAAGAGCCCCGAUCCUUUCAUUGUUGACUUCCUUGUGUGGAAUGCACCCAAGCCAGACUUUCUUUAGGUGACAUCGUGAAUAAAGAUGGCAAGUUGAUAGGUAUAAUUGUGAGGUGCUAUCCAGGUUAAGUGAUAGAAGUCACAGUUCGUAUCUGUGUGACGUACUAUCCAAGUCUUGGAUGAGGGUCACAGUUUUGAAUGAUAUUUCUAUCGUUAAUAAAUUUUUUGACGUAUUCUUGAAGACUUCCUAGCCUACCCCUAGAUCGUGAAAUCAAAUUUUGUAUUGACCCCGGUACAAAACCCAUUUCUUAAACCCUCAAAUAUUUCUUCAACUAAAACGAACGUAUAAUACGCCAAAGACGUUGACUCGAGCUGUUGAAGAUUACGAUCAUACUAUUCAAUAUCAUCGUGGAAGAGCGAACGUGGUAGCUGACGUGUUGAGUAGAAGAUUAUAUGCGUUUACGAGUGCGAUGUUGUUAACACAAAGACUCAUUUCGUAUAACUUACAAAUGAUGAAGAUAGAGUUAAAGACUCUAGGGACCCACAUGAAGAUAACGAAUAUACGAGUAGAAUCGACUUUAAUCGAUAAAGUUAAAGCCGCUCAAGCUACAUACUCAGAGCUGAUGAAUGAAGAAGGUUCAAGAGGGCGUUAUUCUAGAAGAAAGAAUUGACGAAGAGAAGAAAUCACAACCCUCGAUUUUAUUGGCUCAUUUGAAAUCCUAGAUCGAGUAGGAACUGUGGCUUAUAGGCUCAUUUUACCGCCAAAUAUGUUGUGUGUUCGCGUAUCGAUAUUACGUAAAUAAGUGGACGACCCGAACCACAUUAUUAAUUUAGAACCGGACGAGAUAGCAGAAGAUUUAACGUAUGAGGAGAUACGUGUUAAAAUCUUGGAUAAGAAUAAUCGUAAUCAACACUCAAAGGUUAUACCUCAAGAGUUAGAAUUUGAAGUGAAGCCAAGGUAUCCUCACCUGUUCGGCAUACCAGGUACGUACGUAAAUUUCUAGGGCAAAAUUCCAUAAGGAGGGGAGAUUGUGAGACCCCAGAUUUUAUAAAUAAGGAUUUAAAUUUCUCGAAAUAUUUUUUUUUUAAUAUUAUGGUGUGGAUUUGAUAUAAUGUUAUAGUUGUGGGUAGUAUUUACAAAUUUUGCAAAGUAUGCAAGUUGUCGUAUUAUAUUCGAUUGGUCGGGGAAUAUUCGUACAACGGCUCAAUCAUUGGUGGACCCCACAACAGAAUUAUUGUCGGAUUGAGAAAACGACAAAAAUAUUUUUAUGAAAAUAACGGCAGAAGUUUUACCGUUAAUACUGUUGAACUACUCGGUAGUAAAAGUAUAGUAAUACGCGUGGUUGCAUAGUAGCACACGAUAUUAAUUAUUGAUGCUUGCGUGAGAAGUCACUCAGUUUUGCUUAUUUUAUGGACCCCCAUUUACCCAUUUUUUAAAAUAAUCGGUAGAAGAUAUUUCAGUAUAUAUAUUAUAUGGGAUCCACCUGUGAUGGUGAUAUGUUGGUGGAGGGAACAUGUGGGGCCCAUGUUGGAAGAAAAGAAAAUGUGUGGGGAGGAUAAUGUGUGGGGAGCAUGUGUUUUAUCGUAUUUUACACGACUGCUAUAUUAUUAGUUUGUAUUUGAAUUUUGUACCAUGUAUUUGGCGACUCAAGAUGGGUGAUGUAUACCUAUUUUGGGGGCGUCACAGUUGGUAUCAAAGCUUAGGGAUAUGAUCCCUGGCUNNNNNNNNNNNNNNNNNNNNNNNNNNNNNNNNNNNNNNNNNNNNNNNNNNNNNNNNNNNNNNNNNNNNNNNNNNNNNNNNNNNNNNNNNNNNNNNNNNNNNNNNNNNNNNNNNNNNNNNNNNNNNNNNNNNNNNNNNNNNNNNNNNNNNNNNNNNNNNNNNNNNNNNNNNNNNNNNNNNNNNNNNNNNNNNNNNNNNNNNNNNNNNNNNNNNNNNNNNNNNNNNNNNNNNNNNNNNNNNNNNNNNNNNNNNNNNNNNNNNNNNNNNNNNNNNNNNNNNNNNNNNNNNNNNNNNNNNNNNNNNNNNNNNNNNNNNNNNNNNNNNNNNNNNNNNNNNNNNNNNNNNNNNNNNNNNNNNNNNNNNNNNNNNNNNNNNNNNNNNNNNNNNNNNNNNNNNNNNNNNNNNNNNNNNNNUUCUUUUGUAUUCAUGAAGAGAACUGUUGUUAUUCCAUUUCUUAUUGUUCUGUUGGAAUAACCUGUAUACGCGGGCUACCCUAUACUUGGUGACAUUCUUUAAUUAUUCUGUCUUUAUUAUUCCAUUGGAACAUCCUGUCUGUGCUUUACGCCGGACCUGGUUUCGUUUCUAUUAUUCUGUCUUUAUUAUUUCGUUGGAACAUCCUGUCUGUGCUUUACGCCGGACCUGGUUUCGUCUUUAUUAUUCUGUCUUUAUUAUUCUGUUGGAAUAUCCUGUCUGUGUGUUUUACACCGGACCUGGUUCCAUCUUUAUUAUUCUGUAUUUAUUAUUCUGUUGGAAUAACCUGUCUAUGCGAAGUACCGCAUGCAUGGUGAUUUUUGUUGUUAUUCCAUUCUUUAUUAUUCUGUUGGAACAUCCUGUCAGUGUGAUAUUCACCUGACCUGGUUCCGUUAUUAUUAUUUUGUUGGAAUAACCUGUCUAUGCGAAGUACCGCAUGCAUGGUGAUUUCUUUUGUUAUUCCAUUCGUUAUUAUACUCAGUUGGUUAAAAUUUUGACUUCUAUACUCCAUGAAAUUAGUGGAAUAUCCUUAAUAUUUUAGCUUCAUCCAGUAUUUUUCAUGGAAAUAUUCUUCUAAGCAUUCUUGAAUUUUACUCUACAAAGCAGUAUCAUGUUGACAAUUUGGACGUUAUUAGUUCCUGAAUAACUUAAUUCUUGAACUUGUUUUUAUUGAAUUCUUAUAUCAUUGUCAUCAUCCUCAUGUUUAUAUUUUUUUAAAAGUCAUCUAUGGCCUGUAGAGCAUAGAUGGACUUGGUAUGAUUAUGACCAGGGAUUAUUCGGUGUAAUCAUGACCGUAAUGUAACAAGUUAUGUUGUAAAAGUCCUCAUUGGCCCGUAGUGCAUUGAUGGACAGUUGUUGGCAUGAUCAUGACCAUUGAUGAAUACACAAAUAUCAUUGGCCCGUAGUGCAUGGAAUUUGUGGUCGUGACCCUAAUGAAUAUCCUUGGCCGUAGUGCAGGGAUGAUUUGGAUUAUUUUUUUAGNNNNNNNNNNNNNNNNNNNNNNNNNNNNNNNNNNNNNNNNNNNNNNNNNNNNNNNNNNNNNNNNNNNNNNNNNNNNNNNNNNNNNNNNNNNNNNNNNNNNNNNNNNNNNNNNNNNNNNNNNNNNUUUCACUGUUCUCUUCAGGAAAUGAGAACGUAGCUGGGACUAGUCGGGGAACGGAGUGAUGGUCCGAGAUGGUGUCUUAGUAGUCCUCACUAUUCUGUAAAAUAGUGUGAUAAUAAAUGUAACGAGGACUCUAUUUGAGAAUGGAUAUUGUCUAGAAGACAAUAUUUGUAUUUAAACUCACAGCAUGUAUUUUGUCGUAUUUUACACGACUGCUGUAUUAUUAGUUUGUAUUUGAAUUUUGUACCAUGUAUUU
rnacentral:lncRNA from 1 species